rnacentral:lncRNA from 1 species
CCCCAGGGAGCCCUUGGCUCUGACACCGAAACAACCUCGGAGCGCACUCCUUUCUUGGCCAACCCUCUGUCAGGAGUCUCCGUCAGACUCAUGUCACAGAAGCCGGCUGGCGGCCCCCCAGGCGAAGAGGAAGUUGACUGGUGCUUGUAUCAGCUCAAUGGGACAGCGGAGUUUGAAGUCUCCGAAGCUCGUCCUCGAUCUGCUUUCCUCCUCUGCCAGGCUAAACUUUGAGAAAAAAUAGCUCAUCUCUGCUGCUUCUACUUCCUCACUGCCCACUCAUU